GUUAUCUUGUAUAUGUGUGCUGAGUUGAGGAGCGUGGGCUUUUUUGGGAGGCAAGCAGAGAGGACGGACGUGUGAGGAACGGACAGCCCCAGGGCGGCAGAUACCGGACCUCGGGGGUUCGGAGGGUGGCCGGAGUCUCGGAAGGACGUUGUGGAUGGAAUCGGAGGCGUGAGCUCCAACUUUCAGAUGGUAUAGCCUCCGCAGAGCCCUGACCUCAACAUCUUCGAGGCUGUCGGGGAUUACCUGGAGAGACAGAAGCAAGCGAGACAGCCAAAGACUGCAGAAGAACUGUGGCAAGUUCUCCAAGAUGCUUUGAACACCUGCCAGCCCAUUUUUGUACAAAACUGCACAAGUGUACCCAUGAGAAAUGAUGCAGUUUUAAAGCCACGUGGACUUGCGUAGAUGACAAUGAACUCAAGUUCAACCCAGGAUCAGUCCUGAACUCCAGAGCUGUCUAUGUGGAGUCUGCACAUCUUCCCCACGACCACGUGGACUUGUUCGGUCCUGAAUUCCAGAGCUGUCUGUGUGGAAUCUGCACGUCCAUGAAUUGCUGAGUUAACUGACCCCUGGCGUUUAGGAGAGUUGUUGGCACUGAGAUAGAGAACGACCUACAUGCAAAGAGUCACGUGGAAUGCACCAGGAGCUAGCAUAGACAGUGGGCCGAAGGAUCAACUGGAACAUAGAACAGUAUAGCACAGUACAGGCCCUUCAGCCCACAAUGUUGUGCCCACCUUUUAACCUCCUCUAAGAUCAAUCUAACCCUUCCCUCCCACCUACCCCUCCAUUUUUCUAUCAUCCUUGAACCUACCUAAGAGUCUCUCUAAUGUCUCUAAUGCAUCUGCGUCUACCACCACCCCUGAUAGCACAUUCCACCCACGCACGCACCACUCUCUGUGUCAAAAAACAUCCUCCCCUAUGCUUUCCUCCAAUCAUCUUAAAAUUAUGCCCUGUGCUAUUAGCCAUUUCUGCCCUGGGGGAAAAAGGCUUUGACUGUCCACUCGAUCUAUGUCUCUUAUCAUCUUCUGUACCUCUAUCAAGUCACCUCUCAUCCCCCUCCUAGCUCUUUGUGGGAGUACACCCAGAGUGAGUACAGGCUCAGUGGGCCGAAAGGUCUUCAUCCGCAUGGUAGAGGAGGCGAUGGUCAGUUCAACGAGGACUGCAGACCUGAUACCAGCCAUCAAGGACAUGUAUAGGGAGUUGGAAAGGGGUCAGUAACAUCAAGAAGGAUCCCACCCUCUCUGCUCACGGACUGUCUGUCCCACUCCCAUCAGGGAGGAGACUACGUGGCAUCCACGCCAGGACCUCCAGACUCAAAAACUGUUACUUUCCCCAAGCAGUAAGGCUGAUCAACUCCUCCACCCACAAACCCACCCCUCCACACCCCCAACAACCCACCCCUCCACACCCCCAACCACCACUACUUUAUCAUUUCCCGAUAGUCACCUUAUGUACAGACACUCCUGUGCCUUGUGUCACUUUAUUGACAGAGAAUCAAUCUGUGUAUAUAAGCUCUCUUGUGUAUCUAUAUUUAAAGUGGUUCAUUAUUAUUG